AGAGUUUGAUCCUGGCUCAGGACGAACGCUGGCGGCGUGCCUAAUACAUGCAAGUCGAGCGAGCGGAACUAACAGAUUUACUUCGGUAAUGACGUUAGGAAAGCGAGCGGCGGAUGGGUGAGUAACACGUGGGGAACCUGCCCCAUAGUCUGGGAUACCACUUGGAAACAGGUGCUAAUACCGGAUAAGAAAGCAGAUCGCAUGAUCAGCUUUUAAAAGGCGGCGUAAGCUGUCGCUAUGGGAUGGCCCCGCGGUGCAUUAGCUAGUUGGUAAGGUAAAGGCUUACCAAGGCGAUGAUGCAUAGCCGAGUUGAGAGACUGAUCGGCCACAUUGGGACUGAGACACGGCCCAAACUCCUACGGGAGGCAGCAGUAGGGAAUCUUCCACAAUGGACGCAAGUCUGAUGGAGCAACGCCGCGUGAGUGAAGAAGGUUUUCGGAUCGUAAAGCUCUGUUGUUGGUGAAGAAGGAUAGAGGUAGUAACUGGCCUUUAUUUGACGGUAAUCAACCAGAAAGUCACGGCUAACUACGUGCCAGCAGCCGCGGUAAUACGUAGGUGGCAAGCGUUGUCCGGAUUUAUUGGGCGUAAAGCGAGCGCAGGCGGAAGAAUAAGUCUGAUGUGAAAGCCCUCGGCUUAACCGAGGAACUGCAUCGGAAACUGUUUUUCUUGAGUGCAGAAGAGGAGAGUGGAACUCCAUGUGUAGCGGUGGAAUGCGUAGAUAUAUGGAAGAACACCAGUGGCGAAGGCGGCUCUCUGGUCUGCAACUGACGCUGAGGCUCGAAAGCAUGGGUAGCGAACAGGAUUAGAUACCCUGGUAGUCCAUGCCGUAAACGAUGAGUGCUAAGUGUUGGGGGGUUUCCGCCCCUUAGUGCUGCAGCUAACGCAUUAAGCACUCCGCCUGGGGAGUACGACCGCAAGGUUGAAACUCAAAGGAAUUGACGGGGACCCGCACAAGCGGUGGAGCAUGUGGUUUAAUUCGAAGCAACGCGAAGAACCUUACCAAAUCUUGACAUCCUCUGACCCCUCUAGAGAUAGAGUUUUCCCCUUCGGGGGACAGAGUGACAGGUGGUGCAUGGUUGUCGUCAGCUCGUGUCGUGAGAUGUUGGGUUAAGUCCCGCAACGAGCGCAACCCUUGUUAUUAGUUGCCAGCAUUAAGUUGGGCACUCUAAUGAGACUGCCGGUGACAAACCGGAGGAAGGUGGGGAUGACGUCAAGUCAUCAUGCCCCUUAUGACCUGGGCUACACACGUGCUACAAUGGGCAGUACAACGAGAAGCGAGCCUGCGAAGGCAAGCGAAUCUCUGAAAGCUGUUCUCAGUUCGGACUGCAGUCUGCAACUCGACUGCACGAAGCUGGAAUCGCUAGUAAUCGCGGAUCAGCACGCCGCGGUGAAUACGUUCCCGGGCCUUGUACACACCGCCCGUCACACCAUGGGAGUCUGCAAUGCCCAAAGCCGGUGGCCUAACCUUCGGGAAGGAGCCGUCUAAGGCAGGGCAGAUGACUGGGGUGAAGUCGUAACAAGGUAGCCGUAGGAGAACCUGCGGCUG
rnacentral:rRNA from 1 species